rnacentral:rRNA from 1 species
AAGUCGAACGCUUCUUUCCUCCCGAGUGCUUGCACUCAAUUGGAAAGAGGAGUGGCGGACGGGUGAGUAACACGUGGGUAACCUACCCAUCAGAGGGGGAUAACACUUGGAAACAGGUGCUAAUACCGCAUAACAGUUUAUGCCGCAUGGCAUAAGAGUGAAAGGUGCUUUCGGGUGUCGCUGAUGGAUGGACCCGCGGUGCAUUAGCUAGUUGGUGAGGUAACGGCUCACCAAGGCCACGAUGCAUAGCCGACCUGAGAGGGUGAUCGGCCACACUGGGACUGAGACACGGCCCAGACUCCUACGGGAGGCAGCAGUAGGGAAUCUUCGGCAAUGGACGAAAGUCUGACCGAGCAACGCCGCGUGAGUGAAGAAGGUUUUCGGAUCGUAAAACUCUGUUGUUAGAGAAGAACAAGGACGUUAGUAACUGAACGUCCCCUGACGGUAUCUAACCAGAAAGCCACGGCUAACUACGUGCCAGCAGCCGCGGUAAUACGUAGGUGGCAAGCGUUGUCCGGAUUUAUUGGGCGUAAAGCGAGCGCAGGCGGUUUCUUAAGUCUGAUGUGAAAGCCCCCGGCUCAACCGGGGAGGGUCAUUGGAAACUGGGAGACUUGAGUGCAGAAGAGGAGAGUGGAAUUCCAUGUGUAGCGGUGAAAUGCGUAGAUAUAUGGAGGAACACCAGUGGCGAAGGCGGCUCUCUGGUCUGU